AUGGUUUGGAUGAAGCCGCGCGUGCCAGCGGGCAGGGCGGGAGGAGGAGGGAGGCUCCGCAGCCAGCGCGGUGCUGGCCAGGGCCCGGGGAGCCCCAGGCACAGCGAAUGCCCUUCUCUGUCCUCCCCUUUCUGCCACCGGUCCCCUUCCCGGGGCAGGCACAGCUGGACUGGGGCACCCCUGAGGGGAUCUCGUUUCCCCUGCACGCCGAGUCCUGUGCAUGAACCUGCCCCUCGCCAGUGUCACCAUGGGCACGUAGCCGUGGGCCUGCCCGCGCUGCCGGCACAGUUCAGGUGCCCACCUCCACGCCUGGCACCACACAAGGACGCUGCCUGCAGAGGCAGCGCCGCUCGGGCGCAGUCAGACCAUCACAUGAGCACCCUGCCCCCUGCCACCCGUGGUGCCCGUGGCAGAACCGGCGCCAGCACCCUUCCUGGCCGAACACUGCGCGCACCGCGGGCACCCCAAAACUGCCGCCUUUGCCCGGCGAGGGCUGCGGGAGCAGCGGGAGGUCUGAGCACGGCGCUGUGUUUCAGGUGGCAUGGUGCAGGUCAGUCACUGUGCCCACACUGCAACGUGAGCCCCGCUGAGGCACGGUCACCCCUGCUGCUGUGCGCGGGGCUGUGUGCGCCCAGCACACCCUCACCUCCCUCCGCCUGUCCGCUGCACCCAUCCCGCACAGGUAAAAGGCAGGGGCUGAAGCCGGCCAGUGUUUUAUGCGGUAUUAAAAAGUCCCCCAAGAUCAGGCACAUGCUGGGCAGGGGCUCAGGGCUGUGGCUGUUGAGAGCUGAGGAAGCCGGGUGGCCGCCCCGUCCCGUGGCUGAGCCCUCCUCAUCCUCAUGGAGCAGAGGGAGCCGCGAGCGGCGAUGGCAUUUCCACGUCAGCCACUUCCAUGAGCCCUGCGCUGCCGGAGCCAGGGAAUGGAUCUGUCUGUGCAGCUGCAGGUCCCUGCUUAUCUGCCCCCCAAAACAGGGGAAUGUUUCCUUGUUGUGUCAAAUUUAA
rnacentral:lncRNA from 1 species